rnacentral:rRNA from 1 species
GGGGGGGGCAAGCGUUGUUCGGAAUUACUGGGCGUAAAGGGCCAGUAGGCGGCCAACUAAGUCCGACGUGAAAUCCCAAGGCUUAACCUUGGAACUGCGUCGGAUACUGGAUGGCUUGAAUUCGGGAGAGGGAUGCAGAAUUCCAGGUGUAGCGGUGAAAUGCGUAGAUAUCUGGAGGAAUACCGGUGGCGAAGGCGGCAUCCUGGACCGACAUUGACGCUGAACGGCGAAAGCUAGGGGAGCAAACGGGAUUAGAUACCCCGGUAGUCCUAGCCCUAAACGAUGAAUGUUUGGUGUGGCGGGUAUCGAUCCCUGCCGUGCCGAAGCUAACGCAUUAAACAUUCCGCCUGGGGAGUACGGUCGCAAGGCUG